UCUUGGCAUUCCCGCUGCAUCUGAGGACGGUGGGAUUGCCGGACCGGCCGUUGUGCCUGAUACUACUACAGUUCCCGGGGCUGAGAGUUUGCAUAGAAGUGGCGUCUGCCCGUCCUUGCCGAGUGGUAUGAGCAAUCUGCCUGCAGGGGUUGAUAUACCCUCCAUGACCACUUCUGUCGCUAUCUCAGAGCCUGUCGGACCUCAGCCUGAGGGGACCUCCGUUGGCGUUGACUUCUUUUCCACAAGGAAUUCCAACAAAUAAAGAUUGGAGUCAGCUUGGGGUCCUAAAUGAAGUUCGAAAUCAGAAGCGUUGUAGUUAAUGAAGAAUAAAGCUCAAGAUCUUAUCUCUCAACAAAAGCCCAAUGAAUUAAUGAAGAAUACAAGUAAAAACUAAAAGUCAAAGCCCAAAAGCCAAGCAAGAGAAGAAAAUCGGCCAUAAAAUAAAAAAACAAGCCUAUCGAUGCCGGCAUCGAUAGCGACAUAGAUGCCGACAUUGAUAGCGGCAUAGAUGUCAGCAUAGAUGUCAUGUUCCUGUUCUGAAUUUAAAGGCUGAAAUUGAGUGGCUUGGGGCUCAAGUUUGAUCCAACGAUUCUCAUUCAUUAUUGUAUGCUAUAAAUAGGGUAGAGAGUGAGGGGUUGAAGGGUGUGAAAAAUUUUGUAACUCCAUUUGGAGAGGAGAGUUACUCUUAAUUGA